GACGAACGCUGGCGGCGUGCUUAACACAUGCAAGUCGAGCGGAGCGGCGAACGGGUGAGUAACGCGUGAGUAAUUGCCCCCCUCUCUGGGAUACCAGCUGGAAACGGCUGCUAAUACCGGAUAGUGGGGCGGGACUCGCGUCCUAUCAGCUUGUGGGUGGGGUAGUGGCCUACCAAGGCGACGACGGGUAGCCGGCCGGAGAGGGCGACCGGCCACGUUGGGCUGAGAGACGGCGCUAAGUCCGACGGGGGGCAGGCGGGGGGAGUAUAGCACAAUGGGGGAAACCCUGAUGCAGCAGCGCCGCGUGCGGGAUGACGGCCUUCGGGUUGGAAACCGCUUUCAGCCAUGACGCGGUAGUGGCAGAAGAAGCACCGGCUAACUGCGUGCCAGCAGCCGCGGUAAUUC
rnacentral:rRNA from 1 species